UCGGGUUACAAGAUGGCGGAUCUGUAGUAGUAACCGCGGCGGGCGGCGGCAGCGGGAGAGCGAGCGAGCUCUGGGGAGCAAAGGGAAGGGAAGGUGAUUGUGCGCCGGGGUAAAGGGAGGGGUAGCGGAGACCACGAGCGGAGGGUUCUCGGUGGCUCUGGCCACCCCUUCUCGCGGCUAAACCUUUGGAGCCAUGGUAAACUCAGGCCUCUCCGGAGUCGCUGCCACCACCGCCGACGCCGCUACCGCCACUACCGGGUCUCAAGAGUGAGGGGUACCGGCGAGGUGAGCGAGGAGGUGGCGGCUGGAGCAGUGGGCCAGUAGCCACUAUGUCGGAUACACGGCGGCGAGUGAAGGUCUAUACCCUGAACGAAGACCGGCAAUGGGACGACCGAGGCACCGGGCACGUCUCCUCCACUUACGUAGAGGAGCUCAAAGGGAUGUCGCUGCUGGUUCGAGCAGAGUCCGACGGAUCUCUACUCUUGGAGUCAAAGAUAAAUCCAAACACUGCAUAUCAGAAGCAGCAGGCAAGUAGUUGUUUAUCUGUAAUUUGAAAGACUUCAUCUGUGAUCCAGGAUGUAUUUAUAUGACAAAGAUGGGGAUACUUUCCAGACAAGAAAAAAAGUUUGGUAACUAAAAUUAGGUACCGUAUGUAUUUUCCUUUCAGUUUGAGAGUCUCAAGCUGAAAAGUAGUUUUUUAUAUUGGUGAUUUAAUGUUGUUUGUUAAUUGAGCCAUUGUUUGUAUUGCAAUGUGAUGUAUUUUGGUCUUUAAAGUAAGCCAGGUCUCUCCAUAUACUCUACACUAAACCUUUCGUUCUGAGUCC
rnacentral:lncRNA from 1 species